rnacentral:rRNA from 1 species
CACGGGGGGAGCAAGCGUUGUUCGGAAUCACUGGGCGUAAAGGGCGUGUAGGCGGUCAGGUAAGUGGGACGUGAAAUACCGCGGCUCACCCGAGGACCUGCGUCCCAAACUGCUUGGCUUGAGUAUGGGAGAGGAUGAGGGGAUUCCUGGUGUAGCGGUGAAAUGCGUAGAUAUCAGGAGGAACACCGGUGGCGAAGGCGCUCAUCUGGCCCAAUACUGACGCUGAGGCGCGAAAGCCAGGGGAGCAAACGGG